GACGAACCGUGCGAACGUUGUUCGGAAUCACUGGGCUUAAAGGGCGCGUAGGCGGCUCAUCACGUCAGGGGUGAAAGCCCCCGGCUCAACCGGGGAAGUGCCUCUGAUACGGGUGGGCUCGAGGGAGGUAGGGGCAGCCGGAACUUCCGGUGGAGCGGUGAGAUGCGUUGAUAUCGGAAGGAACGCCGGUGGCGAAAGCGGGCUGCUGGACCUCAAUCUGACGCUGAGGCGCGAAAGCCAGGGGAGCAAACGGG
rnacentral:rRNA from 1 species